rnacentral:rRNA from 1 species
UACAGAGGUCUCAAGCGUUGUUCGGAAUCACUGGGCGUAAAGGGUGCGUAGGCGGCGCGUCAAGUCAGUUGUGAAAUCUUAAGGCUUAACCUUAAGCGGUCAACUGAUACUGUCGUGCUAGAGUGCAGAAGGGGCAAUCGGAAUUCUUGGUGUAGCGGUGAAAUGCGUAGAUAUCAAGAGGAACACCUGAGGUGAAGACGGGUUGCUGGGCUGACACUGACGCUGAGGCACGAAAGCUAGGGUAGCAAACGGG